rnacentral:tRNA from 1 species
GACGCGAUAGCUUAGUUGAUAAAGCGACUGCUUCUCUAUGAUACGGAGGUCCCAGGUUCGUAUCCUGCUCGUGUCA